UACAGAGGGUGCAAGCGUUAAUCGGAAUUACUGGGCGUAAAGCGUGCGUAGGUGGUUCUUUAAGUCAGGUGUGAAAUCCCUGGGCUCAACCUGGGAACUGCAUUUGAUACUGAAGAGCUAGAGUGUGAUAGAGGAUAGUGGAAUUCCCGGUGUAGUGGUGAAAUGCGUAGAGAUCAGGCAGAACACCUGGGGCGAAGGCGGCCGGCUGGGCAGUUGCUGACGCUGAUGCGCGACAGCGUGGGGAGCAAACAGG
rnacentral:rRNA from 1 species